GACGAAAAAUAACGAUGCGAGACUCUUCCGAGGCCUCGCAAUCGGAAUGAGUCCAUUUUAAAUCCUUGGACGAGGAUCCAUUGGAGGGCAAGUCUGGUGCCAGCAGCCGCGGUAAUUCCAGCUCCAAUAGCGUAUAUUAAAGUUGCUGCGGUUAAAAAGCUCGUAGUUGGACUUUAUACAGCCAUUUCGUGGGUGAGUCGCUCUUCGUACUAACGUCGCGCGCAGUCCCUUGAUGAAGUCGUCGCGUGUGUUUCUUAUUCGGCUCCAGGGUCGUUUGAGAGAUACCCGGCGUUACAGAUUCUUGCGGGCGGCGAGGCGUUGUCCUAGAGUAUAGCUCGUCCGCGUUUGGUACAAUUAAAAUUUUGUCGGCUCGCUCGGAGUGCUCUUUACCGAGUGUUCCAGGGUGGCUGACACGUUCACUUUGAAAAAAUUAGAGUGCUUAAAGCGGGCUUAUUUACGGCCUGAAUGUCUGUGCAUGGAAUGAAGUAACAGGACCUCGAUUCUGUUGUUUUUGUCGGUUUUAAUGAACCGAGGUAAUGAUUAAAAGGGACAGACGGUGGCAUUAGUAUUGCGGCGCUAGAGGUGAAAUUCUUGGACCGUCGCAAGACUAACUACUGCGAAAGCAUUUGCCGAGAAUGUUUUCAUUAAUCAAGAACGAAAGUUAGAGGAUCGAAGGCGAUCAGAUACCGCCCUAGUUCUAACCCUAAACUAUGCUAACUAGCUGAACCGCCGGAGUCAUUCCCACGACCCGGCGGGAAGCCCCAGGGAAACCAAAGUCUUUGAGUUCCGGGGGAAGUAUGGUUGCAAAGCUGAAACUUAAAGGAAUUGACGGAAGGGCACCACCAGGAGUGGAGCCUGCGGCUUAAUUUGACUCAACACGGGAAACCUCACCAGGCCCGGACAUCAUAAGGAUUGACAGGUUGAGAGCUCUUUCUCGAUUUGAUGGGUGGUGGUGCAUGGCCGUUCUUAGUUGGUGGAGUGAUCUGUCUGGUUGAUUCCGAUAACGAACGAGACUCUAACCUACUAACUAGUCGGCGGAUCGUAACCCUGAGAUGGUUAGUUUGUAUAGGAGAGGUUCGCCUAGAUCGAGUCCGAUCAAUAGUCGUUCCCGCUCAUUCGUUAUUUAUAGCGGUGGGGGGAGCGGUCCUAGCGAUCGACGCUUGGUCGAAGCGUCUUUCCGAUUACUGCUGCUGCUGGGGGCGUCCGUCGCAAUGUAUCUUCUUAGAGGGAUCAGCGGCGUAUAGCCGCACGAGAAAGAGCAAUAACAGGUCUGUGAUGCCCUUAGAUGUUCUGGGCCGCACGCGCGCUACAAUGUAGGGCUCAGCGUGCUUUCCCUCUCCGAAAGGAGCGGGUAACCCGUUGAAACCCCUACCCGAUUGGGAUUGGGGAUUGCAAUUAUUUCCCAUAAACGAGGAAUUCCCAGUAAGCGCGAAUCAUUAAUUCGCGCUGAUUACGUCCCUGCCCUUUGUACACACCGCCCGUCGCUACUACCGAGUGAAUGAUUCAGUGAGGGCAUCGGACUGGCCCUUCGGUUUAGUAACCUAGACCUUAGGCUG
rnacentral:rRNA from 1 species